AAAGUAUCACACGUAUCUGGCUAACCAAUAACUGUCUAUGUUUUUUGUCUAUCAAAAAAUGUCUCAUGUAAUUCAUUCUAGUUCAGCUUUAAUCCUCAUAGAUGCAUAAAUAAACUAUCAGUUAACUAUCAGUUCUGUUUAAAGUGUUGACAAAAAGUUGAAUGCUCUCCUAGCUGUACAGUAAGUCGCUUUGGCUAAAAGUCCUGUAGUCAUGCAGCUGCGAUCCUCUGGAAGGCCUACAGCAUAUCCUCCCUCCCUCCGAUCCAGCGGCCGCUAUUCACUCCCUUCUCCCUCUUCCAAAGGCCCGACCGCAGUUCUCAUUUGCUUUAUUCAACUCUCCAUCAACAGCCAUAGCCAGCUCACAAACAUCUAUGAUUAUCAAAGGCAUCAAGAGAACCCAGUCCGCCCGUCGAGACGCCAUGCAUCUCUACCCUCAGCAAAGGAUACCACUCCAGGCAUGUCGCCCGCAAACUCGACGCCAUGUUCAACCUAGCCAUUUUUUGUUUUCUAAGAUCCUCAAAAAUCUCCACCACAUCCACCUUUAACCCCCUAGUCCAUCCAACCAUAUCCGACCUAUCAGUAAUCGAUCCAGAGACAAUGUCAUACUCGAUCAGGCAAAGCAAGACCAAACCAGAAUAGACCCUUCUGUCUAUAUUUUCAACCCCCAGUCACCGAUUCAACCUUACCAAACCUCCCUAGCCUACCUUCACUUCAGGAAACCCCAGACCAAAGCCGCAUCAAGUCCCCUCUUCAUCGACAACUCUAACCGGCCAUACACUUCUGGUUCCAAAAGCACUUCAAAGCCAUCCUGCUCCAAUCCGGCAUCCAAGCAGACCACUUUUCCGGUAACUCCUUCCGCAUAGGCGCAGCAACCACAGCUGCUCAAAAAGACCUCUCUCAGUUUCAAAUCCAAGCACUCAGCCGCUGGUCAUCGGAAGAUUUAAAGAGCUGCAUCUGGUCAGAUCGCAGCCCAUCUAACCCUAAUUUCCUGAAUCAUCUAAAAACACCUCAUUCCCCCGCAUGGGUUCGAACCUCCACUACCUCAGCAGUCAACUCCUCAUUAGGAGAUUUCAGCGCCGCAGCAAACGCCUCAACAAUCACCAGGGCUUUUAUCUCAAGACCUGUCACUCCAGACCGCCUCUGCAAGUGUGAAGCAAGAAGCAAGUGUGGCACUACCGCCUCCACAGAGGCCCACGCUUCCAUCUCUAGCGUAGAAGUCAGCAUCGCCGCAGCAAUUGCCUCCGGAGAGGCCAGUGCUUUCAUCUCAAGCUUAGAAGCCAACAUCGCCGCAGAGGCCAGUGCUUUCAUCUCAAGCAUAGAAGCCAACAUCACCUUAGCGACCACCUCCGCAGAUGACAGUGCUCCCAUCUCGCACUUUGCCGAAUAAGACUUCACAGCUGAAGCCAGCAUCGCUUCAGCAUUCACCCAAGCAAGGGUCAGUGCUUCCAUCACGCCCUUUUCUACAGGGGACGCAACUUUUUUCCAUUGCCUCCAUUGUUACCACCGGGGACACCCACAAAGUCCUGCCUGCUCCAACGGGAUCAGAAAUCCCCAUCAUAAUAACCUCUGAAUUCACUGCACUCAGCCGCUCAGCAACCAACACGAUUACAGGAACCAAUAUCCCACCUCAUUUAAGGGACCCUACACCAGCUUCCCGUCUUCUCACAAUGACAUCUCCCGAGAAGCCCUCAUCCUCUCGUCUUUUCCAGAACGCAGGUCACCACCUGCGUAACGCAUACGCCGCGUUUUGGGGGGGUUAUGCAUACACCGGCUGUUGUCCCACUUUAUAAUGCCCUGGGGGGGUGUGCUCUGGGCUCGAGCCGGUUCCCAGCUCGGGGCACUUGCCCUUGCCAGGGUAGAGUGCUCCGAGUUAGGAUAGAUCCGGUGGGACUUCUCUCACAACGCAGUGCGAGUGAUAACUUUGCAGGUGGGAAACACAUUGUUGGGCAUUUAAAACACUCUCCGCUUGCAUAAUUUUAUUUGUUUCCAUUUAUUUAUCCCCGUUUAUCAAGCUAGUGAAGGUAUUGUUCUAUUCAGCUGCUUAAUUUGCAAUUUAAUUUUGAAUGUCAAUGUGGCGCAGCGCCCAGGUCCUAAUCAGCGUUGCCAGGGUAACACGCAACUAACCACUCACAGCUGCCGGUCGUCAGCACCUGCAGCUCGUUCCCGGGCCCUAUAAAGGCGGGAGAGAGGAAUGAGAUGACAGACUUCCACUCCACAUGCUAACCCCAUGAAUAUACACUGUCUCUUUCUGUCUUUUGAGCAGGUAACAGUGCAAGAGGACUCGCAGAGGAACUGACACAACAUUACUUCAUUACAAAACACAUGACUGCACACGGAAACCCCAGAGGGACUAUUUUGCACAUUUUCCCCCAACUGCACACUUAAUAAACUGCACUCCGGGGGGUUUUUACCCUGUGUUGUUUCGUGCUUUGCUCGGCACAACUGGUGGGGAAUGCGGGCGAUUUAGCACUACUUAAUCCUAGUUUUUUUUUGUGUGUCUCACUUACCUCUGUAUACAGGGAACCGCGCUCUCUUUCUCUUCCCUGCCGAUAACCUGACCAUGGAGGAGCUGAUUCGCCAGCUGGCUGAGAUGGAGUCUCGCCAGCAAAGACUCAGUACACAGAUCCUGAUGGGACAGGACAAGAUGGCUGCAGACACUGGUCGCAUGACUACAAAGUCGCGAACGGCCAUCUUACCGACGUAUCGGCAGCUCGAGGAAGCAAGUGCCACUCGAGAAGCCUGGAAGCAAGCGAGUCAGUGAAGCUAACAGCCCCGCCCAUUUCCGGAGAGACUCAACAAACGUGUGAGGCGCUUCCCGCAUCUGUUAGCAUGGACUGUGAGAAGCGGAAAAAGGAAGUCUCCGCUCGAACUGGUAUUUCCCUGACCAGCCCAGUGGAGCAAUUCCACGACUGGUCCUACGAAGUGAUAAGCCAAUGAACGGCCAAAUAACCAAGCUGCAACGCCUCACAAAAAGAUGGUUGCUGCACGGGAACCCCCCCCCGCCGUCCAGGUGGCCGAGAAGCUGAUUGUCGACCGGAUGCUGCGCUCCCUACCUCGGGAUGUCCGUAUGCUGGUGAGCAGGAGUGGUCCCUGCACCUAUCGGGAACUCUGGAGAGCGGUGAAACGAGCUGAGGCGGCGAUCCCUCAUGACGUCAGAGAGAGAGAGAUGGUUUCACCCCGGAGGGCAGAAAUACCCUGGCGGCUGCCAGAGGACACCUCCGGAAACGUGAACAGACCCGCGGUCCCCUCUCCUUCGGACGAGCAGAAGCCUAGAGGAGCCGUUACUCCCGAACCCCGGACAUGGCUAGCCGGCUAUGUUAGCCACCCAGCACGACCCAUGGACAUGCCGAAGAGGAUAGUGCAGGUUAACAGACAGCCGGUUGAAGCGAUGCUUGACUCUGGCAGUAUGGUGACCCUCGUCAGCCCCACAGUUGUUCGAGCCAGGCCACUGGAAAAUGUCUAUACCCCUCGGGUGUGUAUAUGGAGACGUCCGCAGAGUUCCAGCCCAAAGAGUCACCAUGGCCUGGCUCCUGGUCAUUAGACAUCAGCAUCGUUCCUGAUUUGCCAGCGCGGGUACUCCUCAGAAGAGACUGGCCAGCGUUCAACCGGCUGUUGGCCAUGACCAGACAGCCAAGUGGAGGGGGGAGCCGCCGACGAAAAUGGCGUCUGACGAAGCCCAUACAUGUCUGCCUCAUAGCGAGUACCACAGGAAGUGCGUGAGAGGGUGAGAACUAUCUCCAAUACGCUGACAACUCCUCUAAUCUGUGUCCCCAGGCGACUACAAGAGUACCCUGGGUGAGAGAACGACUAGAGGACGGUCGGUCAAGAGACCCACGACGGAGACGCCGACCCAUUCGACAAGGAACUUUGCCACCCCCCUUGUUCCGCUCCCGCAUCGCGUGGUACCCAACGGUCCAUCCCUCUGCCCGGCACCGAGGUGUCCUUUGUACACAUUGGAUGGGACCAGGAGGGUCCACUGCCGGAGUCUGCCUGUGGCCACGAGAACGGCGGCGCGCUCGUCGACGACGACCUUCGCGUUCCGAGGCCUCGGCCCUAAGGACAACCCCGGUGACAGCCACUGCCCAUAGCUUCAAGGUGGUUUCCACGAGAAGCCCGGGCAGACAAACACCGACCACCAUGAAGCCAAGGACUCUCCCAAAAUCAUGGUGGAGCCACGACCUUCUCUUUCCCCCCCACCUCCCCGUCGGCUACGCCACGCACCGGACAGGUAAACAAGCGGUACCAGGACAAUAAGCGGUACCAGGACGACGCUUAGUUUGUGGCAGGGCGCCCAGGUCCUAAUCACUGUCUCUUUCUGUCUUUUGAGCUGGGGAAAGCGCAAGAUGACCGGCAGAGGAACGGACACAACAUCACUUCAUAACAACACACAGGACUGUACCCGGAAACCCCAGAGGGACUAUUUUGCACCUUUUUCCCUAACUGCACCACUUAAUAAACUACCCUCCGGGGUUUUUGGCCCUACCCUGUGUUGUUUCGUGCUUUGCUCGCCACAGUCAAGUUUAAGAUAGUGAACAUUUUGUUUUAUUAUUCAUUUGUUGCACCAUUGCUGGUUUAAUAAACAACUCAGUACAUUUUUGAAUAAUUUGUUUGUUAUUUUGUUUUACGGGGUUAGGAAAUUAAUGUUAAGUCGAGCCUGAUGUCUUGCACAGCAAUGCACACAGUUUAUCGAGUAAUUGUUAUGAAUCUCAGGUAUCGGAAUCGGAAGCAAAAAAGGUGGAUCAGAGCAUCCCAAGUACUUAAUGUAGUAGUGUACACAUUUAGUGUAAUCUUCCAGAUCUUGGUGACUCCAGUCUGUGUUAUCAAAGUAGUCUUGCAGCUGUGAGGAGGCACCAGCAGGCCAUAUUUUGACAGUUUUUGAGGUGGGGGGGUUUCUUUUCCUGAUAGGUAUGUAGGUUGGUAACAUGAACAGGGAGAUAUAACCCGACUGACACAGAAGUUGUAAUGAUAUAGCUCUAUAACCAUGCUUAAUGUUUGUGUAUACUUUAUCAGGUGGGUUUUUCCACGUGUGGGACAAUUCACGUGUUGAUAGAAUUUUUUAACAACUUUUUCAAGUCCAGGUGAUUAAAAUCCCCCGCUAUUAUGUUUAUUAAGUUCAGUGUUAACUGCACUGUAUAGGAGGUUAAAGGCCAAUUCAACUUUAGAAUCCGGGGCUAUGUAUACUCCCAUGAUCAAAACAGCCGUUGACAACUCUCAAAUAUUCUCAAUCCGGAGAGCAGUGACUGUCUAUAGUCUUGGUAUUAGUAGCCCAUUUUUCACUAAUAUAAAUACAAAGUCCCCCACCUCAUUGUUUCAGUGAUUGUUGGUUCCGGUUGUGGAGGUGUAGUAUGAAGCCGUUUAACUCCACAGGUGCAUCGGGAAUUCCAGGGUGAAGCCACGAUUCUGUUUCCUGCACUCUCCCAGUUUGGUUUCCGGUUCCUGAUUGCAUCGCUGCCGGCGGCUAGUUUGUAUCCUCUGACACUUGUUUCACCUCACAUUUGUUCUUGGUCUUAAUAUUAGUGUAUUUUACUAUAGUUACCUAUCACUGCCGUUGCCGAAUUAUUUAUAACUUUAUAUUCUUAAACUUUAUUAAAUGAAACGUAAUGCCGCUAGCAUAGUAUUAGCAUGUUAGCUUGCCUUCUGUUUACACUGUGGAAUAUCAUCUCCCCCUAUUUGUCUUGUGUUCUUACUGUUUCUCUUUUUAAGCAGAUAUACUAAGACUCAUCAAGCAGCCUUGGAAAGUUAGGAUUGCACUUCAUACCCGAUGAUAUUUUAAGAUCUACAAGAAGGAUGGUGCUAUCCCCUAAAGUUCUAACCAUGGGGCCAUCCAUCCAUCCAUUUUCUACCGCUUAUCCAGGGCCGGGUCGCGGGAGCAGCAGUCAGUCUAAGCAGGGAUGCCCAGACUUCCCUCUCCCUAGACACUUCCUGGGGUCCCACGCGGCAUCUUGUGGAGGCUGCUCCGGGAGUAUGGAAUUCGGGACCCUAUGCUAAGGACUAUCCGGUCCCUGUACGACCGGAGCAGGAGCUUGGUUCGCAUUGCCGGCAGUAAGUCAGACUUGUUUCCGGUGCAUGAUGGACUCCGGCAGGGCUGCCCUUUGUCGCCGGUUCUGUUCAUAAUUUUGUGUUCAACACUGUAAACAGCGUUGGUAGGGCACUGCUUACCCCUCCUGAGGCACCGAAGGGUUUGCCAGAAUCUCUUCGAGGCCGACCGAUAGUCCUUCUCCAUGGCCUCACCGAACUCCUCCCAGGCCCGAGUUUUUGCCUCCCAAACCAUCCGGGCUGCCAUCCGCUUGGCCUGUUUGUACCUGUCAGCUGCCUCUGGAGUCCCACAAGCCAGCCAGGCCCGAUAGGACUCCUUCUUCAGCUUGACGGCAUCCCUUACUUCUGGUGUCCACCACCGGGUUCGGGGAUUGCCGCCUGACAGGCACCGGAGACCUUACGGCCACAGCUCCGAGUGGCCGCGUUGACAAUUGAGGUGGAGAACAUGGUCCACUCGGACUCAAAAUCUCCAGACUCCCUCGGGAUCUGGUCGAAGCUCUGCCGGAGGUGGAAGUUGAAGAUCUCUCUGACAGACAAUUCGGCCAAACGUUCCCAACAGACCCUCACAGUACAUUUGGGUCUGCAGAGUCUAACCAUGGGUUAUAAUACAAUUGUUUAGCACUCCUAGAAUAGAAUAGUCCAAUAACUUCUUCACAUCUUGUUGAGUAAAGACUGAGUCACAACAGUGGGUUUUAAAUGUAGCUUCUGUUAAUAGAGUAGUAGCUAAGGAUGUGUUUAUGGUAAUAGGUCAAAGAAUUUUUGGGGGACUCAAACACCCCUACAUUCACUUUUCACAGCGUAACUCUUGAGACUGCAUCAGACUGAGACUGUAGUAGUUUCUUUUUUAUUUCAACCCUCUUCAUCGCCAUUAUUUCAUGUUGUACAUUUGAUAGCAAAGAAGCAUAAACAGAUAGUGUUUACAUUUCUCAUUGUUUUACGGGCAUUUGUAAGCGUUAAACAAAUGGUUAAAUGUUUUUUUUAACGGUUCUCUUUUUCCCUUUCUGACAGAAACCAACUGAAUGUAUUAAAAAUAAUAGCAAGAGAAGGCCACUCUGCAAGUUUUUUAAUUACCACCGUAUUUUCCUGUAUGUGUUAUAUGCUUUUUAUGUUUUUCCAGACAGAUCUAACAGUUUGUGUGCUGGAUUGUGCAAUACACAUGAUUGUUAAAAUGUAGUUGCAUUAAAGAAUAUCUUUUAAGUGUAAAAAAUCUAGAUUUGUAGUUCUAAGAAACGUACAAAUAAACUAAAAAUGUCAAUUGCGUGCAGGAAAAUAGGCAACUUAUGCAGACAAUGUGUCUUGUGAAACGCUGCAAAUGGGGUUUUAAAUGUUUAAAAAACACAUUGAGCUACUGAGAUAGAUUUGCUAGGGUUUCCGUUUUUGGAAAGUUCUUCAUUUUAAAGGAUUGGAUGUUUUAGCCUAGUUUUAUCUGAUUUAGACAAAUGUUCUGGUCUCUUUCAUCUUCUUUUCUUGAUUGCUCUACAAGCUCUGGCAAACAUGCAUAUUAAUUUAGCAUUUUAAUUGACCUUCACCCUAUGUCUUUCCGUGGUGCAGACAAAUGGGAAGUCCAUGGGCACUACCCAAUCCGAAUCUUACAUGAUACUUUAUGUAAAGAUGGGUUUAG